GCUCCCGUAGCUCAGUUGGUUAGAGCGUCGUACUAAUAAUGCGAAGGCCACAGGUUCCGACCCCUGUCGGGAGCA
rnacentral:tRNA from 1 species